rnacentral:sRNA from 1 species
CGCCCCUGCCUUUCAGGCAUCCUCUCCCAAAACUUAUUCCGGCCGGUCCUUCGGGACCGGCCUUUUUUUGUGCGCCG